rnacentral:rRNA from 1 species
UGGGGAAUUUUGGGCAAUGGGCGAAAGCCUGACCCAGCAACGCCGCGUGAAGGAUGAAGUAUUUCGGUAUGUAAACUUCGUAAGAAUAGGAAGAAUAAAUGACGGUACUAUUUGUAAGGUCCGGCUAACUACGUGCCAGCAGCCGCGGUAAUACGUAGGGUGCAAGCGUUAAUCGGAAUUACUGGGCGUAAAGCGUGCGCAGGCGGUUCUAUAAGACAGAUGUGAAAUCCCCGGGCUCAACCUGGGAAUGGCAUUUGUGACUGUAGAGCUAGAGUACGGUAGAGGGGGAUGGAAUUCCGCGUGUAGCAGUGAAAUGCGUAGAUAUGCGGAGGAACACCGAUGGCGAAGGCAAUCCCCUGGACCUGUACUGACGCUCAUGCACGAAAGCGUGGGGAGCAAACAGGAUUAGAUACCCCAGUAGUCCCUGAGCGGGCUGGCAAGGCGCAU